AUGCUCUCACUUUAGCAGCACAUAGAGUAAAAUUGGAACGAUAUAGGGAAGAUUAGCAUGGCCCCUGCACAAGGAUGACACAUUAACAAUAACAGAUAAAACAAACAGUG